rnacentral:rRNA from 1 species
UAGAGCUUGAUCAUGGCUCAGAUUGAACGCUGGCGGCAGGCCUAACACAUGCAAGUCGAGCGGUAGAGAGAAGCUUGCUUCUCUUGAGAGCGGCGGACGGGUGAGUAAUGCCUAGGAAUCUGCCUGGUAGUGGGGGAUAACGCUCGGAAACGGACGCUAAUACCGCAUACGUCCUACGGGAGAAAGCAGGGGACCUUCGGGCCUUGCGCUAUCAGAUGAGCCUAGGUCGGAUUAGCUAGUUGGUGGGGUAAUGGCUCACCAAGGCGACGAUCCGUAACUGGUCUGAGAGGAUGAUCAGUCACACUGGAACUGAGACACGGUCCAGACUCCUACGGGAGGCAGCAGUGGGGAAUAUUGGACAAUGGGCGAAAGCCUGAUCCAGCCAUGCCGCGUGUGUGAAGAAGGUCUUCGGAUUGUAAAGCACCUUUAAGUUGGGAGGAAGGGCAGUAACCUAAUACGUUGCUGUCUUGACGUACC